AUGAACCGUCAAAGAAAAUGGGCCUGUUUUUUGUGUUUCCAAUUGUUUGCAUUCUUGCUUGUGAAUUUGCCUCCAGUGGAUUAUCUGACAAUUCCCAGAGCUGCAAACCACUU